rnacentral:misc_RNA from 1 species
AAAAAAUCAUUUGGCACAUUCACUUUUAAUUGUAUCUCACUUAGUAUCAAAACAAUAUAUAUAAAAGUGCAACUAUUAAACCCCUGAAUUUUAUAAAAAUAUAACAAGAAGUCAAAACAUGUGUAAAUCACAGUUGCGCAUUCAUCAAUCGCAGGGGUUAAACAGCUAUACUUUUUCAUGUGGUAUAUGAGAUACAAUGGAGUGCCAAAUGACUUUUCAAGUAAAUGGCAUGGCCAAAAAAUGUUUUCGGCCAAACUUUUUACUCUAUUUAACACCAACAGAAACCAGGUGACGACGUCUUUUCCAACUACAAACUCACCCCCCUCCUACCUUUAUCACCUCUCCAUUACAAAUUAUCAGCAGCUUCUUUAUUUCAUUUUGUACCACAAAGGCUUCCAUGCACCAUUUUAUUACUUUCCCCGUGUAAAAACAUCCAACUGAACUCCCUGCAAAAUGCUUCAUGCAUCAUAAUUUUGAAAACCGCUUCACCGAUGAAAUUCUUCCCUCUUCUCUGCAACAAAAUUCUUUUCAGCUAAACAAGUUUCGGUUCCAGCGGAGGUUGGGAUGGGGGAUUCUUAGCAUCUUGGAUGGCCUUCUGGAGUUCUCCAUACAUUCUCACGGAACACUCUGCGAAGUUAUUCAACUGGCCAAGAAAUCCCUCCAAGCUUGAUCGAAAAUGCUCAAAACCUGAAAUACAGUCUUCUGAAGCUUCGUCUCUCAACAUAUUAAUUCCUGAAUCACUGCCAUUAUCAGCCUUCCACGACCCUGGGUUUGCACUCUUCCCUUGGUUCUUUUCUUGGCGGGGCAAAAGGUGAGCAGUUUCUCCUGCCAAACCCUUCGUAGCAUCCACAACCUGCUUUGCAGGCAAGGCCUCAAGCUUAUCCAACCAAGUACCACAGGUGACAUAUAUUGGAGGGCCACUUCUUCUCAAAGUCAAUGAAGGGGACUGUUGUUUCCUUUUCUUCUUUGUAGGUUUUUCUGGAAGCAAGACACAUUUGAAAAGCCA